rnacentral:tRNA from 1 species
ACUUAAAUAGUUUAAAUAGAGAAAAUAAUGAUUUGUGGUGUCAUAGAAGUAAAUUUUACUUUAGGUU